rnacentral:misc_RNA from 1 species
UGGCUCUCGCAUCGAUGAAGAACGCAGCGAAAUGCGAUAAGUAAUGUGAAUUGCAGAAUUCAGUGAAUCAUCGAAUCUUUGAACGCACCUUGCACCCUCUGGUAUUCCGAAGGGUACGCCCGUUUGAGUGUCAUUGUACUCUCAACCCCACGAUUUCUAUUUGAGCUUGUGUGGGUUGGACUUGGGUCACGUCGCGAUCUGCGGCCGAUCCGAAAUGCAUCAGCGUGUGUCUGUCGUGACGAUAAACCGAUUGUUAAGACUUAUCGGGCUCGCUCUGGCGAGGUUGUCUGACGUGUACGUACGCCAAACGCCCAUUGCAGGGAACUCUGACAAUUUGACCUCAAAUCGGGUGGGAUCACCCGCUGA